rnacentral:rRNA from 1 species
GGACUACCCGGGUUUCUAAUCCCGUUCGAUUCCCACGCUUUCGUGUUUCAGCGUCAGGAGCGCGCCAGUAAGGUGCCUUCGCAUUUGGUGUUCCCCAUGAUAUCAACGGAUUUCACCCCUACACCAUGAGUUCCCCUUACCUCUCGCGUCCUCAAAUAGCUAUGCCGUAUCUUCUGCAUUUCCUGGGUUAAGCCCAAGACCUUUUACAAAAGACUAACAUAGCCGCCUACACACCCUUUACGCCCAAUGAUUCCGGGUAACGCUUGGGGCCUCUGUAUUACCGCGGCUGCUGGCAC